AUCUCGCCAGUCACAUUUCAAGUACUCAACAGCUACAUGUGGCUAUGGCUACUGCACAGGGCAGCACAGACACUGCCAUCUGCCACUGCAGAAGGUUCUACCACAUUAAGUGCUUGCUCUGGGCCCUUCAUUUGAUUUUUUUUUUUAAAUCACAUCUUCCAGCAUUUUAAUGCCUUUUUGAAAUGCUAAAUGACCACCUGUUAUUGGUUUGAUAGUCACCCCUACUCAAUCAAUAACCAAACAUUUUAAUGUAAUUGCAGAAAUGCUUUCAACCAAAUUAAGAAUGAACCCAGAUAGGGGCAAUUCAAGAAAAGGAAAAAAAACACAAAUCAGCCAGUUCCAAGAAUCCUUGUCUCAAUUUCUGUUGACAUUUCAGUCUCCAAAAAACUAUCAAGAGCUCUCCCCACCUUUAAAAAUUAUGGGAAAAAACACAUAAAUGAGACUAUCCUCUUAGCAAACUAAGUGUACAGUACAGUUUUGGUAACUGUAAGCACAAUAUUGUGAAACAAGUGUCUAGGCCUCUUACGUCCUGCAUAACUGAAACUUGAUAUCCACUGAACAGCAACUCCCCAUUUCUCUCGCCCCCCAGCCCUUGACAACCAUUACUUUCUGCUUAUUAUAAGCACUUCCAGAUCCUGGGUGAGAUGCUCCCCUGCAUCACCAGCCUUCUCGCCUCUCUCUCGCACAACGCAGAUCUGACCCUUCCUGAGUGACUCUCCUCUUGCUCAGCCCGCACCACACGGAAACAUUCCCACUCACUCUGACCACUUUCACACUUCCCUGAGACCUUCCCUGCAUUUCUUUCAUCAAUUUCCAUUCUCUCAGGUCAUUAUCUGGAAGGUCUUGGGCUAAGUACUGCAAGUACAAAGAUAAUAAGGCAUUAAGUGCUGACUGCAAGGAAACAUCAGUCCUGGUGCAUUUGCCCAGCUCAGCAAUUUUAAUUCAUUUGUACUGGACAAGCAGCAGCGCCUCAACUAAUGUUUACAUUUAGUGAAAUGCAAAGACAGAGUUUGGAGAAAAAUAAACCGAUUAUAUUACCGAGUGGCGGCUGUUAAUGUCUGAUAAAGCUUUUAUCGGUCUUAAGAGAAAUCUUUUCCCCCCGCCU